rnacentral:rRNA from 1 species
CUUGGUCAUUUAGAGGAAGUAAAAGUCGUAACAAGGUCUCCGUUGGUGAACCAGCGGAGGGAUCAUUACAGAGUUGCAAAACUCCCAACCAUUGUGAACCUACCUCACCGUUGCUUCGGCGGGCGGCUCCCUCGGGGGCCGCAACCCUCACGGGUGCCCGCCGGAGGACAUCAACUCUUUUGUUUUCUAGGCCUCUCUGAGUAAUUAUACAAAUAAGUUAAGACUUUCAACAACGGAUCUCUUGGUUCUGGCAUCGAUGAAGAACGCAGCGAAAUGCGAUAAGUAAUGUGAAUUGCAGAAUUCAGUGAAUCAUCGAAUCUUUGAACGCACAUUGCGCCCGCUAGUAUUCUGGCGGGCAUGCCUGUUCGAGCGUCAUUUCAACCAUCAAGCCCCAGGCUUGCGUUGGGUCCCUGCGGCUGCCCGCAGGCCCUGAAAUACAGUGGCGGGCUCGCUAGUCACUCCGAGCGCAGUAAUACAUCUCGCUCAGGGCGUGCUGCGGGUUCCGGCCGUUAAACCACCUUUUAACCCAAGGUUGACCUCGGAUCAGGUAGGAAGACCCGCUGAACUUAAGCAUAUCAAUAAGCGGAGGA